rnacentral:rRNA from 1 species
AGUGAACGCUGGCGGUAGGCCUAACACAUGCAAGUCGAACGGCAGCACAGUAAGAGCUUGCUCUUACGGGUGGCGAGUGGCGGACGGGUGAGGAAUACAUCGGAAUCUACUUUUUCGUGGGGGAUAACGUAGGGAAACUUACGCUAAUACCGCAUACGACCUACGGGUGAAAGCAGGGGAUCUUCGGACCUUGCGCGAUUGAAUGAGCCGAUGUCGGAUUAGCUAGUUGGCGGGGUAAAGGCCCACCAAGGCGACGAUCCGUAGCUGGUCUGAGAGGAUGAUCAGCCACACUGGAACUGAGACACGGUCCAGACUCCUACGGGAGGCAGCAGUGGGGAAUAUUGGACAAUGGGCUCAACCCUGAUCCAGCCAUACCGCGUGGGUGAAGAAGGCCUUCGGGUUGUAAAGCCCUUUUGUUGGGAAAGAAAAGCAGCAGGUUAAUACCCCGCUGUUCUGACGGUACCCAAAGAAUAAGCACCGACUAACUUCGUG